AUUGAACGCUGGCGGCAUGCCUUACACAUGCAAGUCGAACGGUAACAGGUCUUCGGAUGCUGACGAGUGGCGAACGGGUGAGUAAUGCAUCGGAACGUGCCCAGUAGUGGGGGAUAGCCCGGCGAAAGCCGGAUUAAUACCGCAUACGACCUGAGGGUGAAAGGGGGGGAGCGCAAGACCUCUCGCUAUUGGAGCGGCCGAGGUCAGAUUAGCUAGUUGGUGGGGUAAAGGCCUACCAAGGCAACGAUCUGUAGUUGGUCUGAGAGGACGACCAGCCACACUGGGACUGAGACACGGCCCAGACUCCUACGGGAGGCAGCAGUGGGGAAUUUUGGACAAUGGGCGCAAGCCUGAUCCAGCAAUGCCGCGUGCAGGAAGAAGGCCUUCGGGUUGUAAACUGCUUUUGUCAGGGAAGAAAUCUUCUGGGUUAAUACCUCGGGAGGAUGACGGUACCUGAAGAAUAAGCACCGGCUAACUACGUGCCAGCAGCCGCCGUAACAC
rnacentral:rRNA from 1 species